UACGUAGGUGGCGGGCGUUGUCCGGAUUCACUGGGUGUAAAGGGCGCGUAGGCGGGAGUGCAAGUCAGGUGUGAAAUCUAUGGGCUUAACCCAUAAACUGCACUUGAAACUGCGUUUCUUGAGUGUCGGAGAGGUAGAUGGAAUUCCUAGUGUAGCGGUGAAAUGCGUAGAUAUUAGAAGGAACACCAGUGGCGAAGGCGAUCUACUGGACGAUAACUGACGCUGAGGCGCGAAAGCGUGGGGAGCAAAC
rnacentral:rRNA from 1 species